rnacentral:misc_RNA from 1 species
ACACCCUCAAGCUCUGCUUGGUGUUGGGCGUCUUGUCGGACUAUCCGACUCGCCUUAAAUACAUUGGCAGCCGGCACUUUGGCCUAGGAGCGCAGCACAUUUUGCGAUCGUAAGCCGUUGUGACAGCAUCCAUGAGAUUUAUUUACCAC